GACGAACGCUGGCGGCGUGCUUAACACAUGCAAGUCGAACGGAAAGGCCUGCUUUCCCUUGUGGAUUGCGGGUACUCGAGUGGCGAACGGGUGAGUAACACGUGAGUGAUCUGCCCCCAACUUGGGUAUAAGCCUGGGAAACUGGGUCUAAUUCCCGGUAGGACUGCAGGGUGGUGCCUGUGGUGGAAAACGAUUUUCUAGUGGUUGGGGAUGAGCUCGCGGCCUAUCAGCUUGUUGGUGGGGUAAUGGCCUACCAAGGCGGCGACGGGUAGCCGGCCUGAGAGGGUGGACGGCCACAUUGGGACUGAGAUACGGCCCAGACUCCUACGGGAGGCAGCAGUGGGGAAUAGUGCACAAUGGGCGGAAGCCUGAUGCAGCGACGCCGCGUGGGGGAUGACGGCCUUCGGGUUGUAAACUCCUUUCGACCGCGAGGAAGCCACCUGGUUGGAAGGGUGGUGACGGUAGUGGUAGAAGAAGCACCGGCUAACUACGUG
rnacentral:rRNA from 1 species